rnacentral:tRNA from 1 species
GGUGGCUCAGUGGUAGAGUGCUUGACUGGCAUGCAUGAGGCCUGGGUUCAAUUCCUCAGCACCA